rnacentral:rRNA from 1 species
GACGAACGCUGGCGGCGUGCUUAACACAUGCAAGUCGAACGGUGAAAGCGGAGCUUGCUCCGCUGUAUCAGUGGCGAACGGGUGAGUAACACGUGGGCAACCUGCCCCUCACUUCGGGAUAACUCCGGGAAACCGGGGCUAAUACCGGAUAUGACCUCCUUGGGCAUCCUUGGAGGUGGAAAGUUUUUCGGUGAGGGAUGGGCCCGCGGCCUAUCAGCUUGUUGGUGAGGUAGUGGCUCACCAAGGCGACGCCGGGUAGCCGGCCUGAGAGGGCGACCGGCCACACUGGGACUGCGACACGGCCCAGACUCCUACGGGAGGCAGCAGUGGGGAAUAUUGCGCAAUGGGCGAAAGCCUGACGCAGCAACGCCGCGUGCGGGAUGACGGCCUUCGGGUUGUAAACCGCUUUCAGCAGGGAAGAAGCCGCAAGGUGACGGUACCUGCAGAAGAAGCACCGGCUAACUACGUGCCAGCAGCCGCGGUAA